CACAUGGCAAGGAACUGUGGGCGGUCCCUAGAACUGAAGGAGACUUCUAGCCAACAAUCAGUAAGAAAAUGAAGCCCUGUUUCUUACAGCUUCAAGAAACUGUGUCCUCUGCCAACAACAUGCUUUUACACAAUGCUGAUCAAUCACAGUAUGUGAGUGUCCAAAUAUGUGUACCCUGUCUUGGCCAAUGUACUCUCCUACCUUCUUCCUUCCAUGUUGGAGUGUAUUGGCUGAAAAAGAUAUGAAGCUACGUGUCUCUUUGGGAUGGAGCGGAGAUCCUGUCUAUCCUAAUGUGUCCUACAGAAAUACUCCUUGUUGUCUGCAAUCAAGUGGUUUUUCUCACACAGCACAUUUUUAAAUUAAGACCAUUGCUGGCACAUUUUGCAUUACUGGCAUUGUUUGGAAGCAUAAUCCUGAAGCAUGUUUGUGGACACCUUAAACCACAAGUCCCAUCUCAGACAAUCAAUGCCUUCUUUAAAGAGCUGCUCCUUGAACUACUCCCAGGAUAUAAGGGUGGGCAUCAAUUUCUACUUUCUCAGAGUGUUAGUGGUUCGACUGUAACACCAUUGCAACAGAAGCUCCAAAACAUGUGGGAAGCCUUAGAGCUGAGAUGACCCUUCAGAGAUUUUCUAAAGUGGCCUGGACCUUUGCACCACUGCACCGGCCAGUCAUUGGGUGAAACCUGCCUCUAGGAAGAAAGUACAAACUUGGAUGAGGCAAUUUCCUUCAGCCAAAGAAAACUGCUAGAAAGGGACUCAGUUGUAAUUAGCAGCCAAUACUCCCAGCCACUAGGGAAUGGGUAUUCUUUUACUUUAGAGGGUAUCUGAGUGACACCUUAUUCCAUUCACUAUAGGGAGGUAUUGGGAUUUUUCAAGCAAAAUAUUGAAAUUAUCUUAUCUCAUAAGCAUCAUUCUGGCUUCUCUAUGAGUAUGUAGGGUAUCAAAAAUAGAAAUAGUGGGACCCCUUAUAGGCCAUUUUAAUAAUCAAGGUAAGAGAAAUUGUGGUUUGGAUAAAGAUGGUAGCAAUGGAUGUGGUGAGAAGUGGUAAAAACAUGAAUGUAUUUUGAUAUAGAGCCAGGAAGAUUUAGAGAUAACUGGAUGUGGCAAGUGAACAAAAAUGACAUGGCUGACUCGAGUUUAUGAGCCACCUGGAUAGGUGGAAUUAUUAUCUGAGAAUGGGAAGUCUGCAGGCUUAGCACAUUUUAGAAGGAAGUUCAGGGAAGCCAUCUAGAACAUCCGAGUAGAGAUGGAAGAAGAUAGUUAUACAUCUGAGUUUGAGAAAUAGGUAAGGGUUAAUCAUACUUACUUGCAGUAAAUGAGGCCUUCUUGC
rnacentral:lncRNA from 13 species